rnacentral:rRNA from 1 species
AACGAACGCUGGCGGCAUGCCUAACACAUGCAAGUCGAACGAAGCCUUCGGGCUUAGUGGCGCACGGGUGCGUAACGCGUGGGAAUCUGCCCUUGGGUUCGGAAUAACAGUUAGAAAUGACUGCUAAUACCGGAUGAUGACUUCGGUCCAAAGAUUUAUCGCCCAAGGAUGAGCCCGCGUAGGAUUAGGUAGUCGGUGGGGUAAAGGCUCACCAAGCCGACGAUCCUUAGCUGGUCUGAGAGGAUGAUCAGCCACACUGGGACUGAGACACGGCCCAGACUCCUACGGGAGGCAGCAGUGGGGAAUAUUGGACAAUGGGCGAAAGCCUGAUCCAGCAAUGCCGCGUGAGUGAUGAAGGCCUUAGGGUCGUAAAGCUCUUUUACCAGGGAUGAUAAUGACAGUACCUGGAGAAUAAGCUCCGGCUAACUCCGUGCCAGCAGCCGCCGUAACAC